AGCAAAGCCACAGGAAGCAGAAGUGUCGAAUACGAAGGUCACUUUUCUGACGCUUUGAGGAUCAUUUCCUCCAGGACCCAUCAACAGAGUGAAUUCUCUGCACUGUGAUUUCCUUUCUGCUGAACAGAAAGGUGAGGGUUGGUUAGCAACUUCCAGACCACCAUCCUUCCAACCCAGAAUCUGCAGAUCUGCCUCUGAAAGUCCUGGAAUCCGUGCAUGGAAAGAGAGGAGGAGAAGACAGAGAUGAGGAAAUGUUGGGCAAGAGGACUGUGGCGUAUUUUGGAUGUUGAAGAUGCACACUAAGAGAAGGGGGCUUUGCUCCCCAGCUGUCUGUUCCCAAUAUGCUGCUAUGAAUGCCACGUGGGAAGAGAAGCACCUUGACAUGGAUGCAGUGAUGCCUGCGGUGCUAAUAGCAGAUAAGCAGUACAGAAGGGGCCAUUUCUUGAAAGCACGUGUCCUGCUCUCGUCCAGUAAAAUCGUUCAGGGCAUGUAUGGGUUAUCUGAAUCAGGAAAUAUUGGCUCCGUGUUCAAAAAUAAAGGAGAAGAAGGAAAAAGACCUGUUUUUCAUUCC